UACAGAGGUCUCAAGCGUUGUUCGGAUUCAUUGGGCGUAAAGGGUGCGUAGGUGGCGCCGUAAGUCAGGUGUGAAAUUUCGGAGCUCAACUCCGAAACUGCAUUUGAUACUGCGGUGCUUGAGGACUGGAGAGGAGACUGGAGUUCACGGUGUAGCAGUGAAAUGCGUAGAUAUCAAGAGGAACACCAGUGGCGAAGGCGAGUCCCUGGACGAUACCUGACACUGAGGCACGAAAGCUAGGGGAGCAAACAGG
rnacentral:rRNA from 1 species